rfam:Gossypium arboreum cultivar AKA8401 contig_65836_1, whole genome shotgun sequence.
AACCUAUGCAUCAGACACUUUCAAAUUAAGUCUUUAAAUCACUCCCAAGCUUUAUAUAGUGUUUCAUCUUAUAAUUGUCAAAAAGAUGUGAUGUCAUUUUUAAGCUU